AUUUUUUUUGUUGACAUACUUUUACCCGCAUUUUGAUUCGUAUAGUAAGUGAAAAUAAGUUCCAGUCCGCUUAUCGUUAAAUAAUAUACUUAAUUACAGUGGUUAUGAGCUCCCCAGAUAUGAUGUGGAGCUAUGAGAAUCCCACCAUUGGCGAUGUCGACUGUGUCAAUGAUGGCCUUGUAAAUUCAGUUCAGACACAUCUCUUCAUUGAUUUCCUUUCUGUUUGGAGGAACAAUAUAUAGAUGAGUGCUGUUGGCAGCAGGUGCCUUCGGGUCAACAGAAUUGAUGGGUCAUGCGAUCUACAGUCUACACCAGCCACAAGGCAAUUCCGUGAGGAAUGAAUAGAAUGAUAAAAUAUAAAAA